rnacentral:rRNA from 1 species
GAUCAUGGCUCAGGAUGAACGCUGGCGGCGUGCUUAACGCAUGCAAGUCGAGCGAAGCACUUAGGAAGGAUUCUUCGGAUGAUUUCCUAUUUGACUGAGCGGCGGACGGGAUGAGUAACGCGUGGGUAACCUGCCUCAUACAGGGGGAUAACAGUUAGAAAUGACUGCUAAUACCGCAUAAGACCACAGCACUGCAUGGUGCAGGGGUAAAAACUCCGGUGGU